UUCAUGGACAACACCUAUCAUGCAUCCUAUCUGCUAUAGUCACAGCUGGAUCGUCCUUUCUUUAGCAGCCUUCCUCCUCCAUCUCGUUAUCAGCCUUCUUUUCUAUAGCUGCGUGGGUCAUGCUUCGUAGGUACCUUGAAGCUCCCAAAACCAGUUGGUUUUUCUGCUUUACAGCUACCCCUCACAAUGGCAAAUAUGGGUGGACAAUUGAGGCACAUGGGUGACUUCACCCUGCUUAGCCACCCCUGGGUUUCUGGAAUUUCUCAACAACAAAAAACUGAAGAAGAAGAAGAAGAGUAAAGCAGAAACGCAAAAGAGCAAAGGGAAGAAGCAAAGGAGAAGCGCAGUGCUUGCCAGGGACAGCGUAGAAGAGAAAACAGGGUAGAGGAAAAAGAGAGUAGAACUGUAGAAGCAAAACAGGGACAACAGCGCAAUAGCCAAUAGAGGUACCAUCUCCAUUCUCGGAUUCUCCAGUGCUUGCCAAUUGCCAUCGAAAUCCCCAAAUCGGCGUAGGCGCAUAAACGACGGCGUUGGGGCGGACUGAGAGAGCUUCAACGGUGGAGAAGCGAGGAAGAGAGGGCAACGGAAAGAGGGUGAUGCGUAAUGGGAAGAAGGUAGGUGUUAUGUUGUUCGCCUUGCCGUUGUUGACUAUUGCGUUGAGAACCUGAAGAUCGCCAUUGUUGAAGCAUUCUUCCAAUUUCCCUCACUGGACUAUUCAACAACAAUAUUAGGUUUUUCCUUUUUCUCUCUCUUGGAGAGAGGAUUUUGGGUUUUAGAUGGAAAUUUUAAAAAGAUAAGGACCUAUUGUUAAGAAGAAAACGUUUUUACACCUAUUGCUUGCUGUACAGAUCUUCUUUUGACA